rnacentral:rRNA from 1 species
AUUGAACGCUGGCGGCAGGCCUAACACAUGCAAGUCGAGCGGCUGCAGGGUGCUUGCUCCUGCUUUCAGCGGCGGACGGGCGAGCAAUGCCUAGGUAUCUCCCUGGUUAUGGUGGCUUGCGUCCGGAAAUGGGCGCUCAUACCCUAUACGUCCUGAGGGCGUACGUGUGAGAUCUUCGGACCUCCCGCUAUUAGACGAGUCUAGGUCGGGUUGUCUAGUUGGUGGGUUAAAGGCGUAACAAGCCGACGAGCCGUAACUGGUCUGAUAGGCUGAUCAGGCACACUGGAACUGAGACACGGUCCAGACUCCUAAGGGGGGGAGCCGUGGGGAAAAUUGGAACAUGGGCGAAAGGCUGAUCCAGCCAAGCCGCGUGUGUUGAGAAGGUCUUCGGAUUGGAAAGGACUUUUAGUUGGGAGAGAAGAGAAUAAGUUUAAACCUUGCUGGUUUGACGGUAACAAAAGAAAAAAGAACGGCUAACUUCGUG